UGUGGGCAGCUCUCAUGGGUUGGGAGCCAGAACCUGAAGGUAUGCAGCUAACUUGAAAUGCAGCUCAAGGUACUCCUGUUGACACCUGCGCCGGGUCCCCG